rnacentral:tRNA from 1 species
AUUCAUGUAGCUUAUAUUAGAGCUUAAUAUUGAAGAUAUUAUGGUGGAUUUAAUUGUUUCCCUUGAGUA